rnacentral:rRNA from 1 species
GACGAACGCUGGCGGCGUGCCUAAUACAUGCAAGUCGAACGCAGUGGGGACGGGUGAGUAACACGUGGGUAACCUCCCAUCAGAGGGGAUAACACUUGGAAACAGGUGCUAAACCGAUACUGAUGGAUGGACCCGCUUUGCAUUAGCUAGUUGGUGAGGUAACGGCUCACCAAGGCCACGAUGCAUAGGCGACCUUAGAGGGUGGUUGGACAAAAUUGGACGUAUGCACGGGCCAGAUGCCGUAGGGGGGCAGCAGGAGGGAAUCUUCGGCAAGGGGGGCAAGCCGUACCGAGCCACGCCGGGUGAGGGAAGAAGGUUUUUGGAUCGGAAAAAUCUGUUGUUAGAGAAGAGGUAUCUAACCAGAAAGCCACGGCUAACUACGUGCCAGCAGCCGCGGUAAUAC